rnacentral:rRNA from 1 species
GGGAAUAUUGCACAAUGGGGGGAACCCUGAUGCAGCGACGCCGCGUGGGUGAAGGAGCACCUCGGUGCGUAAAGCCCUAUCGGCAGGGAAGAAACAGACGGUACCUGACUAAGAAGCUCCGGCUAACUACGUGCCAGCAGCCGCGGUAAUACGUAGGGGGCAAGCGUUAUCCGGAUUCACUGGGUGUAAAGGGAGCGUAGGUGGCAUGGUAAGCCAGAAGUGAAAACCCAGGGCUCAACUCUGUGGAUUGCUUUUGGAACUAUCAAGCUAGAGUGCUGGAGGGGUAAGCGGAAUUCCUAGUGUAGCGGUGAAAUGCGUAGAUAUUAGGAGGAACACCGGUGGCGAAGGCGGCUUACUGGACAGAAACUGACACUGAGGCUCGAAAGCGUGGGGAGCAAACAG